AAUGAACGUUGGCGGCGUGGAUUAGGCAUGCAAGUCGAGCGGAGCGAGGGUGCUUGCACCUUAGCUUAGCGGCGGACAGGUGAGUAAUGCUUAGGAAUCUGCCUAUUAGUGGGGGACAACAUUCCGAAAGGAAUGCUAAUACCGCAUACGCCCUACGGGGGAAAGCAGGGGAUCUUCGGACCUUGCGCUAAUAGAUGAGCCUAAGUCGGAUUAGCUAGUUGGUGGGGUAAAGGCCUACCAAGGGGACGAUCUGUAGCGGGUCUGAGAGGAUGAGCCGCCACACUGGGACUGAGACACGGCCCAGACUCCUACGGGAGGCAGCAGUGGGGAAGAUUGGACAAUGGGCGGAAGCCUGAUCCAGCCAUGCCGCGUGUGUGAAGAAGGCCUUUUGGUUGUAAAGCACUUUAAGCGAGGAGGAGGCUACUGGUACUAAUACUACUGGAUAGUGGACGUUACUCGCAGAAUAAGCACCGGCUAACUCUGUGCCAGCCGCCGCGGUAACAC
rnacentral:rRNA from 1 species